AGGACUGUUGAUCAUGAGCUACACUGAGUUACACUGGUGUUGGACUUAACCGAGUGUCUAAGCUUCUUCUACUAAGAAAAGGGAAUUAGAAAUAAUUUUGAAACAAUUUGGCUCUAAGCAAUGUUUCUUGCAGCAUAAAACGCAAGUCUCCUUGAGCAAAAAAAGAGACCUCCAUUUCUGAACUCUGUACGUGCAGGAAGUCUUGCUGGCAUCAUCUGCGGAGAAGGUCUACAGCCUGACAGCUUCUGUGAUGGGAUGGCACAACGUGCAGUGAUUAGCAAGGAGAGUCACAGGGUCUGGAAGAGGCAGCGCAGAGCCACUCUGCAAGCACAAGGCUGGAACACGAGAUGUAGCUGCAGAGCCUCGGUAAACCCUCGUCUUGUUCCAGAGCCAACUUGGUUUCAGAAGUAAAACAUCCCCCUCGCUUUAUUACAAAGCACCCAGUACAUGAAGCACUGGCAGUGCUCAAAGGUGGCACCUGGGUAAUUUAACAACAUCAUCAAACCAGGAGAGUUAGA